UACGUAGGGUCCGAGCGUUGUCCGGAAUUACUGGGCGUAAAGAGCUCGUAGGUGGUUUGUCGCGUUGUUCGUGAAAACUCACAGCUCAACUGUGGGCGUGCGGGCGAUACGGGCAGACUUGAGUACUGCAGGGGAGACUGGAAUUCCUGGUGUAGCGGUGGAAUGCGCAGAUAUCAGGAGGAACACCGGUGGCGAAGGCGGGAUCCUGGGCCAGUACUGACGCUGAGGAGCGAAAGCGUGGGGAGCAAACAGG
rnacentral:rRNA from 1 species